rnacentral:lncRNA from 1 species
GGAGAGGGAGCAGCUUGCGGUGGAAGGAGAAAUAACAGAGCAACUGCUCUAGUUGCUUCAGGUGGAUGAAAGAAAGGAGAAACCUGGAGGGUGCGGCGGCGGCAGGAAGGAAGAGAGAGGGAAGAGAGAGAAUGGGGGUUACUUGUGGAAGAAGGUUAGGGUUAGGGUUAGGUUAGUCAAUGGGCUCUUAGAUGGGCUUUAAGGUUUGGGCCAAAAUAAUUUAGACUAAUUUUCCGGGAACGAAUUAAAUAGCGAAGAGCUAAUUCGGGAAGCCGGAAAAUAUUGUCAUAAUUCAAAUUGAGCUUUGGGAAUUUAAGCCAAAUGAAUUAGUCUAUUUUCCAAAAUCAAAUUAAUUAGCAAGGAAUUAAUUUAAUUAAUUUGAAGAGUCGGAAAAUAAUAUCAUAAUCCAUUUAAGAUACUUCCGUAGCACUUUG